rnacentral:rRNA from 1 species
GACGAACGCUGGCGGCAUGCCUAAUACAUGCAAGUCGAGCGAACAGAUGAAGUGCUUGCACUUCUGACGUUAGCGGCGAACGGGUGAGUAACACGUAAGGAAUCUACCUAUAAGCGGGGGAUAACAUUCGGAAACGGGUGCUAAUACCGCAUAAUAUCUUCUUCCGCAUGGACGAAGAUUGAAAGACGGCUCUGCUGUCACUUAUAGAUGACCUUGCGGUGCAUUAGUUAGUUGGUGGGGUAACGGCCUACCAAGACGAUGAUGCAUAGCCGACCUGAGAGGGUGAUCGGCCACAUUGGGACUGAGACACGGCCCAAACUCCUACGGGAGGCAGCAGUAGGGAAUCUUCCGCAAUGGGCGAAAGCCUGACGGAGCAAUGCCGCGUGAGUGAAGAAGGCCUUCGGGUCGUAAAACUCUGUUAUAAGAGAAGAACAAAUUGUAGAGUAACUGCUACAGUCUUGACGGUAUCUUAUCAGAAAGCCACAGCUAACUACGUG